UCACCUGGUUUAACUUACCUGGAAGAUCGAAGAUCGAACAUCGACAAGAAGAAAAGCUCCUCAGAGCCUUACUGGCUAAUCAUACGACACCACACCACUCUCCAACCUCAUGGUUGGUUGGGUCGGUGUUGGUAAUGACAACUAUCGUCGUAUUGGCUAAGGACAAGGAGAAUAUGACUCUUCGAUGACACCUAACAUCAUUAAUUGGUCAAACAGUCAAUUACAUCAAUAUCAUUGCUUUUCUUGCAAUCUCAAGAAGUUAUGACGAUUACUUGGUCGAAUUCCUAUUCGAAGUAUCGGUAAACACAAUGGAAAAAAUUACUCGUAUCAAACCAGAAUUUUUUACCACCCACUCUUCUGAUGUAUAUAGAUAUACACAUCAAUUGUUUUUCACCGGAUACAAUAACACGAAUCAUCGAAUUACUUAUGAAAAAACAAAUACUUGGUAUAAAUCAAAUUGACGGUUGGAAAUUAAUCGUCAAAUAGUUAAUCCAGAUUAUAACAAGAAUAUGAUCCAUCUAUUGUAUUGAUGUUGGAAAUCAAGUUACGUUCUUCAUACAAAAUCUGAAAAUAUCAUGAAAAGUAUUACGUUUUACGAGUAUCAAUGGAAUAUGAUGAACGUAAAAUUAUCUUCAGGAUUUUCAUCACGAUCAAGACAUCUUCCAGGGAGGUUCCUCGUCGAGUACCAAUCAACGAAUCAAAUCUUAAUUGUUUUUACAAAAUUUU